rnacentral:rRNA from 1 species
AGAGUUGAUCAUGGCUCAGGACGAACGCUGGCGGCGUGCCUAACACAUGCAAGUCGAGCGAGGAGAUCCUCGGGAUGAUCCUAGCGGCGGACGGGUGAGUAACACGUGGGCAACCUGCCUCAUAGAGAGGAAUAGCCUUCCGAAAGGGAGAUUAAUACCUCAUAACAUUGCAGUUUCGCAUGGAACAGCAAUUAAAGGAGCAAUCCGCUAUGAGAUGGGCCCGCGGCGCAUUAGCUAGUUGGUGAGGUAACGGCUCACCAAGGCGACGAUGCGUAGCCGACCUGAGAGGGUGAUCGGCCACAUUGGGACUGAGACACGGCCCAGACUCCUACGGGAGGCAGCAGUGGGGAAUAUUGCACAAUGGGGGAAACCCUGAUGCCAGCAACGCCGCGUGAGUGAUGACGGCCUUCGGGUUGUAAAGCUCUGUCUUCAGGGACGAUAAUGACGGUACCUGAGGAGGAAGCCACGGCUAACUACGUGCCAGCCGCCGC